UGGCGCACGGCGCACGGGUGCGUAACACGUGGGUAACCUGCCCUUUGGUGGGGAAUAACCUCGCGAAAGCGAGGCUAAUUCCGCAUAAGAUCCGCAAGGAUGAAAGCCGCAAGGCGCCGAACGAGGGGCCCGCGCACGAUUAGUUAGUUGGUAGGGUAACGGCCUACCAAGACUAUGAUCGUUAGCUGGUCUGAGAGGAUGGCCAGCCACACUGGAACUGAGACACGGUCCACACUCCUACGGGAGGCAGCAGUGGGGAAUCUUGCGCAAUGGGCGAAAGCCU
rnacentral:rRNA from 1 species